GGCGGCGUGGAUAAGACAUGCAAGUCGGACGGGACUUUUCGUUGUAGCAAUACAGUGGAAAGUUCAGUGGCGAACGGGUGCGUAACACGUGGGCAAUUUGCCUUAAAGUGUGGGAUAGCUCGGCGAAAGCCGGAUUAAUACCGCAUGUGGCUACUGGAGACAUCUUCGGGACGCUAAAGGUGGCGCAAGCUACCGCUUUUUGAGGAGCCCGCGGCCUAUCAGCUUGUUGGUGAGGUAACGGCUCACCAAGGCGUUGACGGGUAGCUGGUCUGAGAGGACGACCAGCCACACUGGGACUGAGACACGGCCCAGACACCUACGGGUGGCAGCAGUCGAGAAUUUUUGACAAUGGGGGAAACCCUGAUCGAGCGACGCCGCGUGGAGGAUGAAGGUCUUCGGGUUGUAAACUCCUGUCAUUUGGGAACAAGGCGCGUGUNUUAACUGUGCACGCGUUGAUAGUACC
rnacentral:rRNA from 1 species